UUUUUUCCCCUGCAUUUAUGAUUUCAGAAGGAGCAAAAGGAAAAAAUGGUGAUGAAAAAAUAAUUACGCCAGCAAUCAAGUUACUGCGAAAACCUAUUUGAUUAGCGGGCCACACUUUACUCAAAUUGCAGCUAUAAAAUUAAGAACAAUUCGCCUGUAAUGAUUAUGGACUUGGAUUUAUUUUGGGGAGGGUGGAAUAAAAGUGGAUAUAGCAUAAAUUAUCCCCUAAUUAUACGCCAGUGUGGCCUCAAUUAUCCUCUUAUCAAAAAUGGUUGUCUAAAUGCAGCGUUUAGUUUCAAUUUUCUCCUUUUUUUUCUCCCCUCUAACUGAAACAAGAACUUGGUACCUUGCUAUUAUCGUCAUGCUACGGUUGUUAUUUACUUUGUGGGAUUUAAAAAGUGCGCAAGCCAGCCGGAUAAUCAUUUUGUCGGAGCGCAGCGGAGCCACAGAGAAGCGCGCAGGCGACCAAGCGAGCAGAGGACACGCAGAUGGAUCUGUUUGCUGUUAUUUGUUUUAUUUAUUUUAUAUUCAUUUCCUUUUAAUUCAGCAACUCCAGAGGGCUGCAGUGCAAAGCCACAGGCGUCUACACUAUCCCCAUCUCUGACCAGAGAGGGGCGGGAAGAGGCCCGAUCGCACACCGCAGCUCAGCUGUCACCAUAAUGUACGCCUCCAUCCAUUCUUGGCAGCUACAUCUCCUCAUCGCUGCUACCCUCCUCCUCCUGCUGCCUGGCUCUCCCACCCCUCUCCCUGGUUGGUUUCCACAGCUGUGGUGAGUGAGGGGCAGAUGACCGGAGAAUUGGCCCCUGGGAGAGCGCUGAGCCAUCCUGGUGCUAUUAGGCUCGUGGCUAAUAAUAGGUGUUUCAGACCAGGGGAAGAUCAAUCAGGGGGAAUCAUGGGGAAUGUUCAGAGCAGCGCUUUUUACACAUCGGCCCAGAUGGAUGAAAUUACACUUGUCAGUUUUUAGUUGCAUUACUCCCAAAUUGGUUGUCUACUCUUUUUUUCUCUGUCUCCCUCCCUCCCUCCCUCUUCUCUCCUUUCUCUGUCUUUGCCCCCCAUUCAUGUGUCAGUGGCCUGCUAAAAGGAUUCGCCAGUGAAAUCCCUGUCAUUUUUGUCUUUUGCCUGUUUAGCCCUCAGCCUGCAACAACUCCAUCGCCUAGCAUGUAUGCACUUAGAAAACAUCAACUCACGUCUUAGGGGCUCGUCCAAUUUCCAUGUAAAGCCCAGUCUGCCGUUGACAUUCUGUGUGCGUUCUGCAUGCAUAAUAAAGCCAUUUGAUUUUGUCACUGUCAAACAUUCAUAGGACAAUAACAGAAGGUAGCAGACGAGGAGAAAAACAGAUGUGCAUCAAUAUUAAUAGUUUGUUAAACAAGGAACUGUUUUAUAUAUUGAUAACCUAAUGAUUCAAAGCACUUAGGCUGAUGAUGGACUUUAAUUUAAGGCAGACAAAAGUGGCAGAAGAUCUAUUUAGGGUAGAAUGCACCUCAAUAUUCAUGUAUUCAUGUGCAUGUAUGUUUAAAACAUAUUGUAACUGCAACUUUGCUGUUUUACCUUUUUUUACUGCCCUUUCAUCGCUGGAAUCAUUUGUAAUAAGUUAGAAAUGUGUUUAGAAGUAGUAUAGAGAAACUCAAUUAGAAAGAGUAUCUGUGUGUGAAAU